CUCACUUUCCAUUUUCGGCUUUCACUAUUCAUAUUUUCUUCUUUUUCCAUUAUUUUCUUCUUACGUUUAGAACCAGAAUAUUUUCUCACGGAACCACCGUGCCGGAACUCUCCUCCGGCCGUCAUCUUCUUCUCCUUCUAAGAUUAAUUCUUCGUGCAGUUCAGUCGCGGUUGUAAUGCGAAAUUAAUCGGUAAGCUUAAGGUGGAUGAAGGAACAAUCACAUUGAAAGCUAUUGUGCAAGUGUUUUAGUAAUUGUGGAUUGUUAAUGUAGAAGCAUCCACAUUGGAAGCCAUGGAUAUUGCUGGCCAGUGUUGGAAGAGAGAGGAGAGAGAAAGAUAAGGCAAUGUGAUAUGAUAUACAAUAUGGUGGAGGGAGAAGGUGAGAUGGUGGGGCCAAGAAGAAAAUGGGUUACAAAGGGUAGUGGUGAAAUCUUGUGUUGAGAGACUAUAAUAAAAUUGUAUUCUUCAUUUGAUCUAAUGGUUAAAACUUAACUUAACUUGCUCAUGGUGGGAAAUUUUAGCACUUGACCAUGCUAAAUGUCACCCCUAUGAUGAUCAUUGGUACCAUAAAUGUGUUGAUGUUUUAAAUGUGAGUUAACAAAUUCACAUUGAAUGAAAAUUAAAAUAUUGAGCGACCUAUAAGUGAGAUUACUAAUAUCGUGACACAGUUACAGUUCUGAACCGUUUGAUCUUAAUGGACAGUUGAUAUUGAUUUACUGUGUGAA